CUAGAGAUGGGUUUCACCAUGGUGAUCAGGAUGGUCUCGAACUCCUGACCUCAAGUGAUCCACCCACCUUGGCCUCCCAAAGUGCUGGGAUUACAGGCGUAAGCCACUGUGCCCAGUCCCUAUUUUCCUUUUUCUACCUGUCUGCCCUCAGGUAGACACAAACCUCAUGCCCUCACCACCUUCAAGCCUCUACUCCAGUCUACUCCAGUACCCCUUCCCUGACCCCCGGGUCCCUCUUUUUUGUUUUCUCACUCUCUGUAGCACCUUCUACCACCAUCCACCCUCCUCCGUGUUUUAUUUAUUUUGUUGAUUUCUCCUUCAUUGAAAUGUCAGCUCCAGGCGGGCACGCAUCUUUGUUGUGUUCUCUGCUGACUAUAUCCUCAGCACCUAGAACUGUGUCUGUCACCUAAUAGAUGCUCAAUAAACCUGCCAGUAAUUUCAGCAAAUGAAACGUGGAACACGUCAAGGCCAGAGGAUGGAAAAGGCUCCAGUUUUGAUAAAAGGAGGCCUGCUUGGCUUGGAAUCCUCUCUCCUGCUGGUUGGGAGAUGCAAAGAUGUUUCCAGAGAGGGGCUGAUGAAUUGAGGGGAAAGAAAUGAGCCCAGUAUGAGUCCCCUUUCAGGGCUGAGCGUGUAUAAAACCAAACAACUUGGAACCGCUCCAAGAGAGGGGAUUAAAGCAACAUGUUAUUCUGAGUGAUUGCUUAAUUUAUUGAGCUGCGGCUGGAUCUGUAAUGAAAUACAGCCCUUGUAACUGAUAACCUCCUGCUGCCAUUGAACUUCUACAAUUAAGGAAUAUUUUCUGAGUUUCUCUGGAACGGCUCUGAAUUUUUAGCCUCUGUGGUAGGGUGCUUCUGAACAUUUGUUUUCCAGGCAAUUUUUUUUGAGUAUUAGGCUGAUGUUAAUAAAUAAGCAGCAUUUUAUUGAGUGUUUUGUGGGAACCAGGAACUUUAUAUACAUUGUUUCUAAUCCUGACACUAAUCCUGUCAAUAUCCAGUGAAAUAACCCCUAUUAUUCCCUAUUUUACAGAUGUGAAGCCACGAGACGUUAGGUCAUUUUCUAGAGUGGUGCUGUCCAAGACAGUAGCUGUGAUGGCUCCUUGUGGCUAUUGAUGUGUAAAUUAGUUAAAAUUAAAUAAAUUUUAACAUUUACACCCUAGGUUGCACUAACAAUGAGUUCAAGUGCCCAGCAGCCCCGUGUACUGUGGCUGAUGGCUACCACAUUGGACAGUGCAGAUAUAGACCAUUUGAAGGUUGCACAAGUGCUAUUGGUCAGCACUGACUUAGAUUUCCUUUUUUUUUUUUUUUUUGAGAUGGAGUCUCGCUCUAUUGUCCAGGUUGGAGUGCAGUGGUGCAAUCUCGGCUCACUGCAACCUCCGCCUCCUGGGUUCAAGUGAUUCUCCUGCCCCAGCCUCCUGAGUAGCUGGGACUACAGGUGCAUGCCACCACGCCCAGCUAAUUUUUGUAUUUUUAAUAGAGAUGGGGUUUCACUGGCCAGGCUGGUCUCGAACUCCUGACCUCAGGGGAUCCACCUGCCUCAGCCUCUCAAAGUGUUGGGAUUACAGGUGUGAGCCACCACGCCCAGCCAGGUUCAGAUUUCAUAGCUAGAACCUGGCAGUGCCAGAAUUCAAGCCGAAGCUAAUGGGCUUUGAAGGCAGAGUUCAUCUGCCAGCCUUGUUGCUUCUUUUUCUUCCCUCUGCUGAGAAGCAAGGAACAGAGCAGUGACUGUAUCCCCUGGCUACACAUUAGAAUUACCUGCAAUUCUUUUUUUUUUUGAGACGGAGUCUCACUCUGUAACCCAGGCUGGAGUGCAGUGGUGUGAUAUUGGCUCACUGCAACCUCCACCUCCCAGGUUCAAGCAAUUCUCCUGCCUCAGCCUUCCAAGUAGCCGGGAUUAUAGGCACACACCACAACGCCCAGCUAAUUUUUGUAUCUUUAGUAGAGAUGGGGUUUCGCCAUGUUGGCCAGGCUGGUCUCGAACUCCUGACGUCAGGUGAUCCACCCUCCUUGACCUCCCAAAGUGUUGGGAUUACAAGCAUGAGCCACCGCACCCGGCCUACCUACAAUUCUUUUUUUUUGAGAUGGAGUCUCGCUGUCUCCCAGGCUGGAGUGCAGUGGCGCGAUCUCAGCUCACUGCAAGCUCUACAUCCCGGGUUCAUGUCAUUCUCCUGCUUCAGCCUCCCGAGUAGCUGGGACUACAGGCGCCUGCCACCACGCCCAGCUAAUUUUUUGUAUUUUUAGUAGAGACGGGGUUUCACCAUGUUAGCCAGGAUGGUCUCAAUCUCCUGACCUCCUGAUCCUACCACCUCGGCUUCCCAAAGUGCUGGAAGCUGUGAGCUUUUUCCCAAAGUGCUAGAAGCUCUGAGCCGCCACGCCUGGCCCCUGCAAUUCUUUAAAAAAAAUGAUGGUAGGGUCCCAGGCCCAGAUAAUCUGACUUCACUGUGAUUAAGCCGGGUGGGGACAGGCAUCAGAGGUUUUUCUACUUCCCCAUGUGAUGCCACUGUGCAGCCAGCACGUAGAGCAGCUAGGCGUGAGGACCCACACAGAGGAUGCUGGAAGCAGCUGGUUCAUCUGCCAGGAGAAUGCAGUAUCUUGUGACCAAGAAGUGGGCUUCUCCCAGGGCCACUUCUAAACCACCUCAUCAGAGAGCUCAGGUUCAUAUCCGAGGGAAGAAACUGAAGUGCUUUCUCACACGCUUCCAGCUUGAUGAGAAUCACAGUAGGGAGCUUUGCUUUUCCAAACAGGCUUUGUCACAUGAUCAUGGAAGAAAGGAGAUGCCCACGUAAGAUCACAGAGACAAGGUGAAAAACCCGUAGCCCCGAAUUGGAAUUGGAAGCAUCAGUAUGAAUUCAUGCUAUAUUUUUGUCUUACAAAGUAAAGCAGGUGUUUGCUAGCUCUGUCAACCAUAAAGUUUAGAAAUAAUGAGCCAUCCAAUAGCAGUGAACACCCCAGCACCCAGGUUAUGGUGUCUAAACGCCACUUCCGACUAGAAAUGAGGGCAUGAAGAAAUAACCAAUUCCAGGUCUGAGGCAAGAAAAAAAAUUCAAGAUGAGCCUGGAACAUCUGGUCAUUCCUUGCUUCCUUGAUAGCAAGGAAGGUGAGGGUCACAUUGAAAAGGAUGCAGGAGACAACAUGGAGUGGCUCCCAAUGGGGAGAGUUUGAGCAUCAUUAACAAUAAUGGGCCGAGCGCGGUGGCUCACGCCUGUAAUCCCAGCACUUUGGGAGGCCGAGGUGGGUGGAUCACAAGGUCAGGAGAUGGAGACCAUCCUGGCUAACACAGUGAAACCCCGUCUCUACUAAAAAUACAAAAAAUUAGCCGGGUGUGGUGGUGGGGUACCUGUAGUCCCAGCUACUCGGGAGGCCGAGGCAGGAGAAUGGCGUGAACCCAGGAGGCGGAGCUUGCAGUAAGCCGAGAUCAGGCCACUGCAUUCCAGCCUGGGCAACAGAUCGAGACUCUGUCUCAGAAAAAUAAAUAAUAAUAAUAAUAAUAAUAAUAAUAAUAAUAAUGACUAUAGGCCAGGUGCGGUGGCUCACACCUGUAAUCCCAGCACUUUGGGAGGCCAAGGUGGGCAGAUCACUUGAGGUCAGGAGUUAGAGACCAGCCUGGCCAACAUGGUGAAACCCCAUCUCUACCAAAAAUAUAAAAAAUUAGCCGGGUGUGGUGGCAUACACAUGUAAUCCCAGCUACUUGGGAGGCUGAGGCAGAAGAAUCGCUUGAACCCAGGAGGCGGAAGUUGCAGUGAGCCAAGAUUGUGCCACUACACUCCAGCCUAGGUGACAGAGCAAGACGCCCAUCUCAAAAAAAAAAAAAAAAAAGAAUGACUUUAAUGGAUUGAAACAUGUCAUAUAUGUCCAAAUCUAUGAGUUGACAAUACUUAAAAAAAAAAAAAAAAAGAAAAAUUCAUUUAUCACCAUGGGAGGAUAUUGGAAAACCCAACUCAUUUUGAAAACUGUCAAAGAAAGGGAAAGAAGCAUUUAUCCUUUUUGGUACAAACCAUACUUUUUGGUAGCCAAAUAGUUGAUAAAUUGAUACCUUUUAUAGACAUAUGUCCACUACCAAAGACAGAAUCAUAGAAUUAGUAUGCCACCAUGUUGUAAUAUCUAAUGAAAUAAUGGGCCAGGUGUAGUGGCUCAUCCCUGUAAUCCCAACACUUUCGGAGGCCGAGAUGGGAAGAUUGUUUGAGGCCAGAAGUUCAAGACCACCCUGGGCAACACAGACCUGUCUAUGCAACAAGAUCCUGUCUCUACAAAAAAAAAAGAAAAAAAAAAAAUUAGCCAGGUUUGGGCAUGUGCCUGUAGUCCCAGCUGUUUGGAAGGCUCAGGUGGGAGGAUCCCUUGAGCCCAGGAGGUCAAGGCUGCAGUCAGCUAUGAUUGCACCACUGCACUCUAACCUAUGUGACAGAGCAAGACCCCUCAAAAAAAAAAAAAAAAAAGAAGAAGAAAUUGUGGAUCUAGACAAUGAUCAUCAACAACAGCUGCUAACAUUGCAAAGAGGAACAACCAGAUAGUGUGUGCCUUUGAAUGGAAGUACAAAACCACCAAUAGGAAGUACUCAUACAAAAAAAAAAAAAUCAAACAUCAAUCUAAGUUAUCUCCUAGGCCUAACUACCAAUUUCUAAGAAAUAUAGCGGGAAGAGGAGCACAUGACACUUCUAUGGAGAUGCUAUAACCAAAAUUCAGACCACAGGAAACUACAGAACAAACAAGCCAGUUUCUUCAACAAAUAAAUUGCAAAGGAAGAAAAAGACAAGGGAAGAGAACCUACAGGUUAGGAGAGAUACAAAAGCAAUCCCAACCGAUGGCAACAUUCGAACUUUAUUUGGAUCCUGAUUUUAACUAGCUAAAGAAACCCUUUAGCUGGGCGCGGUGGCUCACACCUGUAAUCCCAGCACUUUGGGAGGCCAAGCCGGGUGGAUCACAAGGUCAGGAGUUCAAGACCAGCCUGGCCAAGAUGGUGAAACCCCGUCUCUACUAAAAAUACAAAAAUUAGCCAGGUGCAGUGGCGUGCACCUGUAAUCUCAGCUAUUCAGGAGGCUGAGGCAGGAGAAUCUCUGAAACCCAGGAGUCAGAGGUUGCAGCGAGCUGAUAUCAUGCCACCGCACUCUAGCCUGGGCAACAGAGCAAGACUCCGUCUCAAAAAAAAAAAAAAGAAACGCUUUAUGAGAUAACCAGAGAAAUCUGAAUACUAACUGGGUAUUUGCUGAUAGUAAAAGCAUUACUGUUAUUAAAUAGUUUUAGGAGGAGUGAAGGUGGCCAAAAAAAAUUUUUUGGAGUUAUACAUUGAAAUGUUUGUAAAAGAAAUGACUGACGUCUGAAAUUUGCUUCAGAGUAAUCUGGGAUGAGGGAAGGGGAAGAGGGCGUGGAUGGAAUAAGGUUGGCUGAGACUUGACUGCUGAAGCCAGGCUUAUUGUACCACACGCUCCGUUCCUAUGUGUGCUUGAAGCUUUUCACAAUAAAAAGAAAAAAGAGGUAAAGACCAGCCUUUUCCUUCCUUUCUCUCAAUGCUUAGUGUGUCCACCCACUGCUGGCAUCUCUGGGACAAGCCUGGGUAGCAGGCUUGAGAUAGAUCUUCACGCAUCCCACCCCCGUCUCCAUGGCAACCAGUGGGGAGGGAAAGCUGCAUCCACAAAGUUCUGGUCCCCACAGGGGUGAGGCCAGGCCACCAGUGUCAUGCCAGGCCCUGUCUUGCUGCUCCCUUGGGAGAAUUCCCACCAGAACUGCCUCCCUGCACCCAUUC
rnacentral:lncRNA from 1 species